GCAACAACAAUGAUGAGGUCUGCAUACAUGAUAAGUAGAUUGUACUUUUGUACUUGAAUGAAACUUCAUGUGGAAGCUGCAUGGAAACUCCACUGCAUUUUAAGUACACAAAAUUGUUAUCUUUAUGCUUUUUGUUUUGGCUUUUCUUUUGCAAAAUACUUUAGUAUAAGAAUUAUAUCAGUAAUAGGGUUACACAUGAUAAUGGGAAAUUGAAGUUUCGCCCUAUUUCCAAAAAAAAAAAGCAUAAAGAUAACAAUUUUGUGUAC
rnacentral:misc_RNA from 1 species